rnacentral:rRNA from 1 species
UACGAAGGGUGGCAAACGUUGCUCGGAAUCAUUGGCGUAAAGCGCACGUAGGCGGCCAGCAAGUUGGAUGUGAAAUACCCUCGGCUCAACCGAGGACGUGCAUCCAAAACUGCUGGGCUUGAGUACUGAAGAGGAGUCGCGGAAUUCCCGGUGUAGAGGUGAAAUGCGCAGAGAUCGGGAGGAACGACCCGUAGCGGAAGGCGGAGCACGUCCUGG